rnacentral:rRNA from 1 species
AGUCGAACGAAAGUUUUUAACUUUAGUGGCGAACGGGUGCGUAAUACGUGAGAAUCUACCCUUAGGAGGAGAAUAACUGCUGGAAACGGCUGCUAAUACUCCAUAUACCGAGAGGUGAAAAAGUUUCGACUGCCUAAGGAUGAGCUCGCGCCUGAUUAGCUUGUUGGUAAGGUAACGGCUUACCAAGGCCACGAUCAGUAGCUGGUUUGAGAGAACGAUCAGCCACACUGGGACUGAGACACGGCCCAGACUCCUCCGGGAGGCAGCAGUGAGGAAUUUUCCGCAAUGGGCGAAAGCCUGACGGAGCAAUACCGCGUGAGGGAUGAAGGAUUUUGGUCUGUAAACCUCUUUUCUCAAGAAAGAAGUUCUGACGGUACUUGAGGAAUAAGCAUCGGCUAACUCCGUGCCAGCAGCCGCGGUAAUACGGGGGAUGCAAGCGUUAUCCGGAAUCAUUGGGCGUAAAGCGCCUGUAGGUGGUUUAAUAAGUCUGUUGUUAAAGACUAGGGCUUAACCCUAGGAAAGCAAUGGAAACUAAUAGACUAGAGUAUGGCAGGGGUAGAGGGAAUUUCUAGUGUAGCGGUGAAAUGCGUAGAUAUUAGAAAGAACACCAGUGGCGAAAGCGCUCUACUGGACCAUUACUGACACUCAGAGGCGAAAGCUAGGGUAGCAAAAGGGAUUAGAUACCCCUGUAGUCCUAGCCGUAAACGAUGGAUACUAGAUGUUGUGUUUUCUCACAGUGUCGCAGCUAACGCGUUAAGUAUCCCGCCUGGGGAGUACGCUCGCAAGGGUGAAACUCAAAGGAAUUGACGGGGGCCCGCACAAGCGGUGGAGCAUGUGGUUUAAUUCGAUGCAACGCGAAGAACCUUACCAGGGCUUGACAUACUGCAGAUCUUUUUGAGAAAGAAGAGUGCCUUCGGGAAUGCAGAUACAGGUGGUGCAUGGCUGUCGUCAGCUCGUGUCGUGAGAUGUUGGGUUAAGUCCCGCAACGAGCGCAACCCUUAUUUUUAGUUACCAACUUGUUGGGUUCUCUAGAAAGACUGCCGGUGACAAACCGGAGGAAGGUG